rnacentral:rRNA from 1 species
UCCAGGCAAAUCCGGAUAAUCAAGGCUGAGGUGUGAUGACGAGGCACUACGGUGCUGAAGUAACAAAUGCCCUGCUUCCAGGAAAAGCCUCUAAGCAUCAGGUAACAUCAAAUCGUACCCCAAACCGACACAGGUGGUCAGGUAGAGAAUACCAAGGCGCUUGAGAGAACUCGGGUGAAGGAACUAGGCAAAAUGGUGCCGUAACUUCGGGAGAAGGCACGCUGGUGUGUAGGUGAAGUCCCUGCGGGUGGAGCUGAGACCAGUCGAAGAUACCAGCUGGCUGCAACUGUUUAUUAAAAACACAGCACUGUGCAAACACGAAAGUGGACGUAUACGGUGUGACGCCUGCCCGGUGCCGGAAGGUUAAUUGAUGGGGUUAUCCGUAAGGAGAAGCUCUUGAUCGAAGCCCCGGUAAACGGCGGCCGUAACUAUAACGGUCCUAAGGUAGCGAAAUUCCUUGUCGGGUAAGUUCCGACCUGCACGAAUGGCGUAAUGAUGGCCAGGCUGUCUCCACCCGAGACUCAGUGAAAUUGAACUCGCUGUGAAGAUGCAGUGUACCCGCGGCAAGACGGAAAGACCCCGUGAACCUUUACUAUAGCUUGACACUGAACAUUGAGCCUUGAUGUGUAGGAUAGGUGGGAGGCUUUGAAGCGUGGACGCCAGUCUGCGUGGAGCCAACCUUGAAAUACCACCCUUUAAUGUUUGAUGUUCUAACGUUGGCCCCUGACCGGGGUUGCGGACAGUGUCUGGUGGGUAGUUUGACUGGGGCGGUCUCCUCCCAAAGCGUAACGGAGGAGCACGAAGGUUAGCUAAUCCUGGUCGGACAUCAGGAGGUUAGUGCAAUGGCAUAAGCUAGCUUGACUGCGAGCGUGACGGCGCGAGCAGGUGCGAAAGCAGGUCAUAGUGAUCCGGUGGUUCUGAAUGGAAGGGCCAUCGCUCAACGGAUAAAAGGUACUCCGGGGAUAACAGGCUGAUACCGCCCAAGAGUUCAUAUCGACGGCGGUGUUUGGCACCUCGAUGUCGGCUCAUCACAUCCUGGGGCUGAAGUAGGUCCCAAGGGUAUGGCUGUUCGCCAUUUAAAGUGGUACGCGAGCUGGGUUUAGAACGUCGUGAGACAGUUCGGUCCCUAUCUGCCGUGGGCGCUGGAGAAUUGAGGGGGGCUGCUCCUAGUACGAGAGGACCGGAGUGGACGCAUCACUGGUGUUCGGGUUGUCAUGCCAAUGGCACUGCCCGGUAGCUAAAUGCGGAAGAGAUAAGUGCUGAAAGCAUCUAAGCACGAAACUUGCCCCGAGAUGAGUUCUCCCUGAGACUUUAAGUCUCCUGAAGGAACGUUAAAGACGAUGACGUUGAUAGGCCGGGUGUGUAAGCGCAGCGAUGCGUUGAGCUAACCGGUACUAAUGAACCGUGAGGCUU